rnacentral:rRNA from 1 species
UACGGAGGGUGCGAGCGUUGUUCGGAAUCACUGGGCGUAAAGCGCGUGUAGGCGGCUUCCUAAGUCUGAUGUGAAAGCCCGGGGCUUACCCCCGGAAGUGCAUUGGAAACUGAGAGGCUUGAGUACCGGAGAGGAAGGUGGAAUUCCUGGUGUAGCGGUGAAAUGCGUAGAUAUCAGGAGGAACACCAGUGGCGAAGGCGGCUCACUGGCCCGAUACUGACGCUGAGGCACGAAAGCGUGGGGAGCAAACAGG